CUAAUGCCAGCUCUCUCAAUGAGUUAUGUAGCUGUGGACAAUUCACUUAACCUCUGCCUCAGUUUCUAACAGUUAGGGUAAUAAUCACCUAUCAACAUCACAGAGGAUUAAUUGGUGCUUUGGACAUGUAAUUAUUGUUGCAGGCCCUAUGCUCAAAUAUCACAAAGAAGGGCAUAAGAAGCACUGAACAGAAUAUGAAGGCAAAAUUCCUGUUGACUUCCAUGUUUAUCUGCACCAGAGGAAUUGGAGCAGAAUUGCAGACCAACAAAUGAAGUGAGCUGAAGGCAAUUUGACCAAUGUUUUCUGUGUGAAUUCCACAGAGGCUGAUGAAGCAUGUUAUCAGGUCUCCAAGGUCCAGUGUCAAUACAUUAUGAAGAUGUGGCAUUUGAGAGGGUUUUCUUUUACAUGGAGGAACACCAUGGAGAAUGGAACAGAAGAACAGGUAAACUGGUUUUAAAAGGGAAUAAAAAGGAGCCAAUAAUUAUGCCUCACUCUGCUUGCAAAUCAUGUUCAGGACCUCAUAUGGUGUGAACUGGCCUAGCUCUAUUGAUACCAAUAGAGCUAUGCCAAUUUAUAGUAGCUGAGGAUCUGUCUUAAUACCAUUUUUAGACACUGGCACUGGAAUUCACACUUUAGUGUCAAAAUUGAAAAACUUUGAAAAUGCACUACCUUUCUUCCUAUCCCCGAGUAACUGAAGGCUUGCUGACUGUGGCAGAUUAAUGGAAGUAGCCAAUAACUGUGUACAAGUUAUAGUUUGACACACAAGCAGAACAAUGUGGUUUUGCCCCUUGCUUCUAGACAAAUGAAUAUUUAUAUGCAAGACCUAAUUUUCCCUCUAGUAACAAUUUAAUAACAUCAAGGGGAUGCUAUUAACUGUUAAAUGUUGUCAGUGCAAGUUAAAGAUGCUGUAAGCCACUCAAAGCAUUUACCACCGAGCUACAUUAACAUAAUCUUUCAAUCAGUGCAGA
rnacentral:lncRNA from 1 species